rnacentral:rRNA from 1 species
CGGCGUGCUUACACAUGCAGUCGAACGAUGAACCGCUUUCGGGCGGGGAUUAGUGGCGAACGGGUGAGUAACACGUGGGCAAUCUGCCCUGCACUCUGGGACAAGCCCUGGAAACGGGGUCUAAUACCGGAUAUGACUGUCCNUCGCAUGGUGGAUGGUGUAAAGCUCCGGCGGUGCAGGAUGAGCCCGCGGCCUAUCAGCUUGUUGGUGAGGUAGUGGCUCACCAAGGCGACGACGGGUAGCCGGCCUGAGAGGGCGACCGGCCACACUGGGACUGAGACACGGCCCAGACUCCUACGGGAGGCAGCAGUGGGGAAUAUUGCACAAUGGGCGAAAGCCUGAUGCAGCGACGCCGCGUGAGGGAUGACGGCCUUCGGGUUGUAAACCUCUUUCAGCAGGGAAGAAGCGAAAGUGACGGUACCUGCAGAAGAAGCGCCGGCUAACUACGUGCCAGCAGCCGCGGUAAUACGUAGGGCGCAAGCGUUGUCCGGAAUUAUUGGGCGUAAAGAGCUCGUAGGCGGCUUGUCACGUCGGUUGUGAAAGCCCGGGGCUUAACCCCGGGUCUGCAGUCGAUACGGGCAGGCUAGAGUUCGGUAGGGGAGAUCGGAAUUCCUGGUGUAGCGGUGAAAUGCGCAGAUAUCAGGAGGAACACCGGUGGCGAAGGCGGAUCUCUGGGCCGAUACUGACGCUGAGGAGCGAAAGCGUGGGGAGCGAACAGGAUUAGAUACCCUGGUAGUCCACGCCGUAAACGGUGGGCACUAGGUGUGGGCAACAUUCCACGUUGUCCGUGCCGCAGCUAA